rnacentral:tRNA from 1 species
GCGUCAGUUGUUCAACGGUCAGAAAAGCUGUUUCCCCAACAGUUGACCCGGGUUCGACUACCGUCCGACGCA